rnacentral:lncRNA from 1 species
GGGAAUUGGUGUUGCCAUGGGGGUAUCUUUCUUCCUCGCCGGCUGACUUCGUGAAGGCAACGCUUUCAUGUUGCAGCUCAAUAAAUUUGAUGUUGUAGUAGCUUUGUUAUGAUGUUUCAACUGGAUCGAUGGAGAUGGUGAUGCCAUCCAUACUUGCAUCCAUAUAUAUUUCAACGAGUAAAUCGAUUUGUUGCGGUAAUAUUUUCUUGAUGUUGCAUUAGCUUUUUAUUGGAUGUUGCAAAAUGAAUUGUUGCGAUAGAUUUAUUCGAAUGUUUCAGAAUUGGAUCCGG